rnacentral:rRNA from 1 species
GUCCUUUUGUUAAAAAUUUAAGGUCUAAUCUGCUCAAUGAGAAAUUAAAUAGCCGCAGUAUAUUAACUGUGCGAAGGUAGCGUGAUAAUUAGUUUCUUAAUUAGAAACUUGUAUGAAAGAUUUAACAAGAAAGUUUCUGUCUCUUUUUAAUAAUUUAUAAAUUUAACUUUUAAGUUAAAAGGCUUAAAUAUGUAUAAAAGACGAGAAGACCCCAUAGAGUUUAAUUUUUUAAUUUUAUUUAGAAUUAUUUAUAUAAAAAAAAAAUUAGUUGGGGUAACUUAAAGAUAAAAAAAAUUCUUUAAAUAUUAAAUCAUUGAUUUGUGAAUUUAAAAUCUAAAUUAUUAAAUUUAAAUGAAGUUACCUUGGGGAUAACAGCGUAAUUUCUUUUUAGAGUUCUUAUCAAAUAAGAAGAUUGCGACCUCGAUGUUGGAUUAAAAUUUAAUUUAGGUGUAGAAGCUUAAAUGUUAAGUCUGUUCGACUUUUAAAAUUUUACA